UGAGCUCCCGGAGCUGGGCUCCGUUAGAGGAGUUCCCUGGUUUUCCUAGAGGUCUUCAGACGCUUCUUCAACUUUUGGUUGUUGCCAGGUAACGCAACACCGCCAUAGGAGGUAUUCAAGUUUACAGGCCUUAACCAUUAAGUAGGCCUUGACACCAUUUACCGGGGCAUGGACUAUUAUAACUUAAAAAAUAGGGAAAUUGGGCGGCCCGCUGGUGCCAUCUAGGAGCCAAAAUCAUAACCCAUUGCCUGUUUGUAUCCACAAUUUCAAAAUGAUCAUUACCAUAAUUUUCGAUGGUUCACAAAUAAAUGUUC